GGCGCCAUGGCAGAGUGGUUAUGCAGCGGAUUGCAAAUCCGUGUACGUCGGUUCGAUUCCGGCUGGCGCCUCCA
rnacentral:tRNA from 3 species